UUUAUGGAGAGUUUGAUCCUGGCUCAGGAUGAACGCUGGCGGCGUGCCUAAUACAUGCAAGUCGAGCGAACGGACGAGAAGCUUGCUUCUCUGAUGUUAGCGGCGGACGGGUGAGUAACACGUGGAUAACCUACCUAUAAGACUGGGAUAACUUCGGGAAACCGGAGCUAAUACCGGAUGAUAUUUUGAACCGCAUGGUUCAAAAGUGA
rnacentral:rRNA from 1 species